GACGAACGCUGGCGGCGUGCUUAACACAUGCAAGUCGAACGGAAAGACCCUGCUUUUGUGGGGUGCUCGAGUGGCGAACGGGUGAGUAACACGUGAGUAACCUGCCCUUGACUUUGGGAUAACUUCAGGAAACUGGGGCUAAUACCGGAUAGGAGCUCCUGCUGCAUGGUGGGGGUUGGAAAGUUUCGGCGGUUGGGGAUGGACUCGCGGCUUAUCAGCUUGUUGGUGGGGUAGUGGCUUACCAAGGCUUUGACGGGUAGCCGGCCUGAGAGGGUGACCGGCCACAUUGGGACUGAGACACGGCCCAAACUCCUACGGGAGGCAGCAGUGGGGAAUAUUGGACAAUGGGCGCAAGCCUGAUCCAGCCAUGCCGCGUGAGUGAUGAAGGCCUUAGGGUUGUAAAGCUCUUUUGUCCGGGAAGAUAAUGACUGUACCGGAAGAAUAAGCCCCGGCUAACUUCGUG
rnacentral:rRNA from 1 species